UUUGCCUACGGGGGGCAGCAGUGAGGAAUAUUGGUCAAUGGGCGGAAGCCUGAACCAGCCAAGUCGCGUGAGGGAAUAAGGCCCUACGGGUCGUAAACCUCUUUUGCCGGGGAGCAAGGGCGGGGACGUGUCCCGGCCCGGAGAGUACCCGGAGAAAAAGCAUCGGCUAACUCCGUGCCAGCAGCCGCGGUAAUACGGAGGAUGCGAGCGUUAUCCGGAUUUAUUGGGUUUAAAGGGUGCGUAGGUGGUUAAUUAAGUCAGCGGUGAAAGUUUGUGG
rnacentral:rRNA from 1 species